CGCGGCGCAUUAGCUAGUUGGUGAGGUAACGGCUCACCAAGGCGACGAUGCGUAGCCGACCUGAGAGGGUGAUCGGCCACACUGGGACUGAGACACGGCCCAGACUCCUACGGGAGGCAGCAGUAGGGAAUCUUCCGCAAUGGACGAAAGUCUGACGGAGCAACGCCGCGUGAGUGAUGAAGGUUUUCGGAUCGUAAAGCUCUGUUGUUAGGGAAGAACAAGUGCCGUUCGAAUAGGGCGGUACCUUGACGGUACCUAACCAGAAAGCCACGGCUAACUACGUGCCAGCAGCCGCGGUAAUACGUAGGUGGCAAGCGUUGUCCGGAAUUAUUGGGCGUAAAGGGCUCGCAGGCGGUUUCUUAAGUCUGAUGUGAAAGCCCCCGGCUCAACCGGGGAGGGUCAUUGGAAACUGGGGAACUUGAGUGCAGAAGAGGAGAGUGGAAUUCCACGUGUAGCGGUGAAAUGCGUAGAGAUGUGGAGGAACACCAGUGGCGAAGGCGACUCUCUGGUCUGUAACUGACGCUGAGGAGCGAAAGCGUGGGGAGCGAACAGGAUUAGAUACCCUGGUAGUCCACGCCGU
rnacentral:rRNA from 1 species